rnacentral:rRNA from 1 species
AUACGUAGGGGGCGAGCGUUGUCCGGAAUGAUUGGGCGUAAAGGGCGCGUAGGCGGCCCGGUAAGUCUGGAGUGAAAGUCCUGUUUUUAAGAUGGGAAUUGCUUUGGAUACUGUCGGGCUUGAGUGCAGGAGAGGUAAGUGGAAUUCCCAGUGUAGCGGUGAAAUGCGUAGAGAUUGGGAGGAACACCAGUGGCGAAGGCGACUUACUGGACUGUAACUGACGCUGAGGCGCGAAAGUGUGUGGAGCAAACAGGAUUAGAUGCCCUGGUAGUCCACACUGUAAACGAUGAAUGCUAGGUGUAGGGGGUAUCGACCCCUUCUGUGCCGCAGUCAACACAAUAAGCAUUCCGCCUGGGGAGUACGGCCGCAAGGUUGAAACUCAAAUGAAUUGACGGGG